AACGAACGCUGGCGGCAGGCUUGACACAUGCAAGUCGAACGGGUGUAGCAAUACAUCAGUGGCAGACGGGUGAGUAACACGUGGGAACCUUCCUAGGGGUACGGAACAACUCAGGGAAACUUGAGCUAAUACCGUAUACGUCCGUGAGGAGAAAGAUUUAUCGCCCUUAGACGGGCCCGCGUCGGAUUAGCUAGUUGGUGGGGUAACGGCCUAACAAGGCGACGAUCCGUAGCUGAUCUUAGAGGAUGAUCAGCCACACGGGGACUGAGACACGGCCGAGACUCCUGCGGGAGGCAGCAGUGGGGAAUCUUGGACAAUGGGCGCAAGACUGAGCCAGCCAUGCCGCGUGAGUGAAGAAGGUCUUCGGAUUGUAAAGCUCUUUUGCCAGGGACGAUAAUGACGGUACCUGGAGAAUAAGCCCCGGCAAACUUCGUGCCAGCCGCCGCCGUAA
rnacentral:rRNA from 1 species